GGUGACUUCUGAAGCUGAACGUUUACUGGUUACCCAACUUGCGUACACGCUGUCGACGUCGCUUGAAUAAGACGUCAUACAAGAAUUGUCAUAUUAGCAAGGCGUAUGGGUUGGGUGAGUCUCUUGGCGUCCUGGGUAGCUUGUGCCUGGUGGUAGUCGUAGUGCUGUUCCUAAUGCAGAGAUGGCGAAAAUGCAUUUGAUUUUAUCCACAUCUCUCUGUAUUGUUUAUGGGGUUAGUGUUGCCUUUACACACGACGCUUGGCGUGUAGGAACUUGAUCGCAGUAACGACGUUUGGUUUUGAAGAUCUAGAAGUUAGUUCAACACGUGGUACGGUCGCAUGUAUGCUGCAUCAAUUGAGUCGAUGUCCUGCACGAGGUUAAGAGCGCUGCACCAAAGCCAGGCUAUGCGCGUGAAUUGUCACAACAUAUAUGGCAUCACAGGCCAUAAGCAUGAAUCCGACAAACAUACUUGGAGCCAAUGCUACUUGCUGGCCAUAAGCAUGAAUCCGACAAACACUUGCAGCCAAUGCUACUUGCUGGCCAUAAGCAUGAAUCCGACAAACAUACUUGCAGCCAAUGCUACUGGCUGGUGAGUACUUACUGCGCCUCAUGAUAUUCCAAAGCUUUAUAAUUGAUCUAUUUGAUGAUGAAACCCUAACUGAAAGCUGGAAUUACCGUCAGAUUGUUCAGUGUUGAUAAUUCAGGUUCUGAAUGCUGUAUCUAAUCAGCGUUAUAGCUUGAAGCUGUUGGUUGUAUUAAAAAUAAACAAAUAUAUUUAUUUCA
rnacentral:lncRNA from 1 species